rnacentral:tRNA from 1 species
GAACGUAUGGCAUAGUGGUCAUGGCGCUUGGACGGUUUCCUAGAGGCGCAGGUUGAAAUUCUGCUACGGUCA